GAUGAACGCUAGCUACAGGCUUAACACAUGCAAGUCGAGGGGCAGCAUGGUCUUAGCUUGCUAAGACUGAUGGCGACCGGCGCACGGGUGAGUAACACGUAUCCAACCUGCCGUCUACUCUUGGACAGCCUUCUGAAAGGAAGAUUAAUACAAGAUGGCAUCAUGAGUCCGCAUGUUCACAUGAUUAAAGGUAUUCCGGUAGACGAUGGGGAUGCGUUCCAUUAGAUAGUAGGCGGGGUAACGGCCCACCUAGUCUUCGAUGGAUAGGGGUUCUGAGAGGAAGGUCCCCCACAUUGGAACUGAGACACGGUCCAAACUCCUACGGGAGGCAGCAGUGAGGAAUAUUGGUCAAUGGGCGAGAGCCUGAACCAGCCAAGUAGCGUGAAGGAUGACUGCCCUAUGGGUUGUAAACUUCUUUUAUAAAGGAAUAAAGUCGGGUAUGCAUACCCGUUUGCACGUACUUUAUGAAUAAGGAUCGGCUAACUCCGUGCCAGCAGCCGCGGUAAUACGGAGGAUCCGAGCGUUAUCCGGAUUUAUUGGGUUUAAAGGGAGCGUAGAUGGAUGUUUAAGUCAGUUGUGAAAGUUUGCGGCUCAACCGUAAAAUUGCAGUUGAUACUGGAUAUCUUGAGUGCAGUUGAGGCAGGCGGAAUUCGUGGUGUAGCGGUGAAAUGCUUAGAUAUCACGAAGAACUCCGAUUGCGAAGGCAGCCUGCUAAGCUGCAACUGACAUUGAGGCUCGAAAGUGUGGGUAUCAAACAGGAUUAGAUACCCUGGUAGUCCACACGGUAAACGAUGAAUACUCGCUGUUUGCGAUAUACGGCAAGCGGCCAAGCGAAAGCGUUAAGUAUUCCACCUGGGGAGUACGCCGGCAACGGUGAAACUCAAAGGAAUUGACGGGGGCCCGCACAAGCGGAGGAACAUGUGGUUUAAUUCGAUGAUACGCGAGGAACCUUACCCGGGCUUAAAUUGCAGAUGAAUUACGGUGAAAGCCGUAAGCCGCAAGGCAUCUGUGAAGGUGCUGCAUGGUUGUCGUCAGCUCGUGCCGUGAGGUGUCGGCUUAAGUGCCAUAACGAGCGCAACCCUUGUUGUCAGUUACUAACAGGUUCCGCUGAGGACUCUGACAAGACUGCCAUCGUAAGAUGUGAGGAAGGUGGGGAUGACGUCAAAUCAGCACGGCCCUUACGUCCGGGGCUACACACGUGUUACAAUGGGGGGUACAGAGGGCCGCUACCACGCGAGUGGAUGCCAAUCCCAAAAACCUCUCUCAGUUCGGACUGGAGUCUGCAACCCGACUCCACGAAGCUGGAUUCGCUAGUAAUCGCGCAUCAGCCACGGCGCGGUGAAUACGUUCCCGGGCCUUGUACACACCGCCCGUCAAGCCAUGGGAGCCGGGGGUACCUGAAGUGCGUAACCGCGAGGAGCGCCCUAGGGUAAAACUGGUGACUGGGGUUAAG
rnacentral:rRNA from 1 species